rnacentral:rRNA from 1 species
UACGUAGGGUGCAAGCGUUAAUCGGAAUUACUGGGCGUAAAGCGUGCGCAGGCGGUUGUGCAAGACAGGUGUGAAAUCCCCAGGCUCAACCUGGGAACUGCGUUCGAUACUGGAUGGCUUGAAUUCGGGAGAGGGAUGCAGAAUUCCAGGUGUAGCGGUGAAAUGCGUAGAUAUCUGGAGGAACACCGGUGGCGAAGGCGGCGUUCUGGACUGCAACUGACACUGAGGAACGAAAGCCAGGGGAGCAAACGGG